GAUGAACGCUGGCGGCGUGCCUAAUACAUGCAAGUCGAGCGAACAGACGAGGAGCUUGCUCCUCUGACGUUAGCGGCGGACGGGUGAGUAACACGUGGAUAACCUACCUAUAAGACUGGGAUAACUUCGGGAAACCGGAGCUAAUACCGGAUAAUAUAUUGAACCGCAUGGUUCAAUAGUGAAAGACGGUUUUGCUGUCCCUUAUAGAUGGAUCCGCGCCGCAGUAGCUAGUUGGUAAGGUAACGGCUUACCAAGGCAACGAUGCGUAGCCGACCUGAGAGGGUGAUCGGCCACACUGGAACUGAGACACGGUCCAGGCUCCUACGGGAGGCAGCAGUAGGGAAUCUUCCGCAAUGGGCGAAAGCCUGACGGAGCAACGCCGCGUGAGUGAUGAAGGUCUUCGGAUCGUAAAACUCUGUUAUUAGGGAAGAACAAAUGUGUAAGUAACUAUGCACGUCUUGACGGUACCUAAUCAGAAAGCCACGGCUAACUACGUG
rnacentral:rRNA from 1 species